CCUACGGGAGGCAGCAGUAAGGAAUAUUGGUCAAUGGAGGCAACUCUGAACCAGCCAUGCCGCGUGCAGGAAGAAGGCCCUAUGGGUCGUAAACUGCUUUUGUACCAGAGAAAACCCGAGUACGUGUACUCGGUUGAUAGUAUGGUAAGAAUAAGCAUCGGCUAACUUCGUGCCAGCAGCCGCGGUAAGACGAAGGAUGCAAGCGUUAUCCGGAUUCAUUGGGUUUAAAGGGUGCGUAGGCGGACUGAUAAGUCAGUGGUGAAAUCUCUCGGCUUAACCGAGAAACUGCCAUUGAUACUGUUAGUCUAGAGUAUAGAUGACGUUGGCGGAAUAUGACAUGUAGUGGUGAAAUACUUAGAUAUGUCAUAGAACACCGAUUGCGAAGGCAGCUAACGAAACUAUAACUGACGCUGAGGCACGAAAGUGCGGGGAUCAAACAGGAUUAGAUACCCUGGUAGUCCGCACCGUAAACGAUGAUUACUCGUUGUUGGCAAUAUGACCGUCAGCGACCAAGCGAAAGCGAUAAGAAUCCACCNGGAGACGCGCGACGAGAACGACGAAGAAGUAGAGCGNGAGAGAGACGACGGACGACGACGAGGGAGGAGG
rnacentral:rRNA from 1 species